CGUAUAUUAAAGUUGUUGCAGUUAAAAAGCUCGUAGUUGGAUUUGUGGCGUACGGUGUGUUCCGGGCACUUGUUGUCUGAGUAACUUGCCGUUGCCAUCCUUGGGUGGAACCUGUGUGGCAUUAGGUUGUCGUGCAGGGGAUGCCCAUCGUUUACUGUGAAAAAAUUAGAGUGUUCAAAGCAGGCUUAUGCCGUUGAAUUCUCCAGCAUGGAAUAAUAAGAUAGGACCUUGGUACUAUUUUGUUGGUUUGCGCACCAAGGUAAUGAUUAAUAGGGACAGUUGGGGG
rnacentral:rRNA from 1 species